rnacentral:rRNA from 1 species
AGCGAACGCUGGCGGCAGGCUUAACACAUGCAAGUCGAGCGGGCACUUUCGGGUGUCAGCGGCGGACGGGUGAGUAACGCGUGGGAACGUGCCCUCUGGUUCGGAAUAACUCAGGGAAACUUGAGCUAAUACCGGAUACGCCCUUUUGGGGAAAGGCUUGCUGCCGGAGGAUCGGCCCGCGUCUGAUUAGCUAGUUGGUGAGGUAACGGCUCACCAAGGCGACGAUCAGUAGCUGGUCUGAGAGGAUGAUCAGCCACACUGGGACUGAGACACGGCCCAGACUCCUACGGGAGGCAGCAGUGGGGAAUAUUGGACAAUGGGCGCAAGCCUGAUCCAGCCAUGCCGCGUGAGUGAUGAAGGCCUUAGGGUUGUAAAGCUCUUUUAUCCGGGACGAUAAUGACGGUACCGGAGGAAUAAGCUCCGGCUAACUUCGUG